rnacentral:rRNA from 1 species
GCUAACUCCGUGCCAGCAGCCGCGGUAAUACGGGGGGGGCAAGCGUUGUUCGGAAUUACUGGGCGUAAAGGGCUCGUAGGCGGCCAACUAAGUCACACGUGAAAUCCCUCGGCUCAACCGGGGAACUGCGUGUGAGACUGGAUGGCUUGAGUUUGGGAGAGGAAUGCGGAAUUCCAGGUGUAGCGGUGAAAUGCGUAGAUAUCUGGAGGAACACCGGUGGCGAAGGCGGCAUUCUGGACCAACACUGACGCUGAGGAGCGAAAGCCAGGGGAGCAAACGGGAUUAGAUACCCUAGUAGUC